rnacentral:rRNA from 1 species
CUUGGUGUCUUUAGCGAAGGGGGUACACCUGUUCCCAUUCCGAACACAGAAGUUAAGCCCUUCAGCGCCGAUGGUAGUGCGGUAUACACCGUGCCAGAGUAGGCCGACGCCAAGA